rnacentral:rRNA from 1 species
AGUGAACGCUGGCGGUAGGCCUAACACAUGCAAGUCGAACGGCAGCACAGUAAGAGCUUGCUCUUACGGGUGGCGAGUGGCGGACGGGCGAGGAAUACAUCGGAAUCUACUUUUUCGUGGGGGAUAACGUAGGGAAACUUACGCUAAUACCGCAUACGACCUACGGGUGAAAGCAGGGGAUCUUCGGACCUUGCGCGAUUGAAUGAUCCGAUGUCGGAUUAGCUAGUUGGCGGGGUAAAGGCCCACCAAGGCGACGAUCCGUAGCUGGUCUGAGAGGAUGAUCAGCCACACUGGAACUGAGACACGGUCCAGACUCCUACGGGAGGCAGCAGUGGGGAAUAUUGGACAAUGGGCGCAAGCCUGAUCCAGCCAUACCGCGUGGGUGAAGAAGGCCUUCGGGUUGUAAAGCCCUUUUGUUGGGAAAGAAAAGCAGCAGGUUAAUACCCCGCUGUUCUGACGGUACCCAAAGAAUAAGCACCGGCUAACUUCGUG